CGUGUAGGCGGUUCGGUAAGUUGGAUGUGAAAGCUCCUGGCUCAACUGGGAGACGACGUUCAAUACUGUCGGACUAGAGGGCGGCAGAGGGAGGUGGAAUUCCCGGUGUAGUGGUGAAAUGCGUAGAUAUCGGGAGGAACACCAGAGGCGAAGGCGGCCUCCUGGGCCGCUCCUGACGCUCAGACGCGAAAGCUAGGGGAGCGAACG
rnacentral:rRNA from 1 species